GGUUUUGCAACUGCCUACAGCAUGCUUUGGAAAGAGAAACUAUGACUAACUUACAUCCCAAGAUCAAAGAGAAAAAUAACUCAUCAUAUAUUCAUAAGAAAAAAAGAAACCCAGAAAAAACACGUGCCCAGUGUAUUACUAAAGAAAGUGAUGAAGAACUUGAAAAUGAUGAUGAUGAUGAUCUAGGAAUCAAUGUUACCAUCUUCCCUGAAGAUUACUAAGCUUUGGUUCUGAUGUAUCUAGGCCGUAAUGUUUCCACUUCUGACAGGUCCUUCAGGAAGUACUCCAGAAGGCGGCGUUGUUAUCAUAGAAGGUGACAGCUUCAUGUGUGUUAUUGCCCCUGAAGACCUUCCAGUGGUACAAGAUGUGGAGGAGGAAGACAGUGAUACCGAGGAUUCUGACCCUGUGUAGGCUUAGGCUAAUGUGUGUGUUUAUAUCUUAGUUUUUCACAAAAAGGUUUUUCCAAUGUUAAAAAUAUAUAUAAAAAAGCUUAUAGAAUAAGGAUAUAAAGAAAUAUUUUGUACAGCUGUACAAUGUGUUUUAAGUUAAGCAUUAUUACCAAAGAGUCAAAAAGUUUUAAGAAAUUAAAGUUUAUAAACCAAAUGUUCAUUGUGAGCCAAGGUUAAUUUAUUGAAGAAAUAAAACAUUUUUAAUGAAAU
rnacentral:sRNA from 1 species